AAGAUAUAUUAGUGAAAUUAUUACAUCAAUAUUAUAUAGCUCAAUUUUCCACACGCACCUCCCCACACAAAUCAAAACAGUCACAUGAAAUAACUCUCAAUACAUGUUUGAUUCACACAACAAAUUCACAUCACACUCUGAAAUCCCGUGAAAUCAGGGAUUUGGAAAUUGUGUGUAACGGUUUUCUCCUUCACACAAACCUCACAGGAUAUUUCAAUUCACACAAAUGACACACUCACAAAUCUUCUAUAUAACAAUACCUCUCUCACUCAUUUUAAGAGGACCCUGAUUACACCAAAUGUUGUGCAAAAAUCCCUCAAAAAAACUCACCAAGAGCUCUCUAACAAAGACCAAUUGGAGCUUCAAAUCAAAGCUCUAAGCUUAGGUCUGAGCUAAGGCCGCUCAUCAUAAUAACAUCAUUACAAUCAUCACACAUAUGCAUAAGCAAGAAGAAGGCCAAGAAAGUAGAUAGAAGACUUAUCUGAACCUCGUCGGAGAAGACGUCAUCGUCAGACUAGUUCCGGUCAAAUGAUGGAUUUGGGUUUAGGUAGGGUAAGAAGCGGGGAUGGAUUCUAGGUGUCUCACUGUGGCGUUACCGUGAGACUCAUCAACACCGCCAUGAGAGUUCUUGUCCUCCGCCGCGUUUGAUCUUUUUUUCUGGGUUCAUGUUGUUGGAUCUUUGUUUGUUCAUAGGCAAGAGAGAGGGGCCUUUGAGUUUGUUUGUUGUAAGGAUGUGUGGAAAGUGGGUUGAGUUAAUUUAUGAGAUUCCCUCAGCAAUGAUUCCCCACCAUGUCUUCAUUCCAUCUGCGACAUGUGGCAAACAGAGGUGGUCCAACCUCUAUCAUAUUUUGAUGCACUCUUAUCUCUAUUUUUGCUCAUUUUAAAUGGUAUUUUGAUGUUGUUAUAUUUGGUUUAAAUUGAAAUAAAAUGAGUAGUAACUUUAA